rfam:Human immunodeficiency virus type 1, isolate RF (HAT-3), complete genome.
UUUUUUAGGGAAAAUCUGGCCUUCCCACAAGGGAAGGCCAGGGAACUUUCUU